UACGUAGGGGGCAAGCGUUGUCCGGAAUCAUUGGGCGUAAAGAGCGUGUAGGCGGUUCGGUAAGUCGGCUGUGAAAGUCCAGGGCUCAACCCUGGGAUGCCGGUCGAUACUGCCGGACUAGAGUUCGGAAGAGGCGAGUGGAAUUCCCCGGUGUAGCGGUGAAAUGCGCAGAUAUCGGGAGGAACACCUAUGGCGAAAGGCAGCUCGCUGGGGACGUUUACUGACGCUGGAGACGCGAAAAGCGUGGGGGGAGCAAAACAGGG
rnacentral:rRNA from 1 species